AUGAGUGGCGAACGGGUGAGUAACACGUGAGUAACCUGCCCCCUUCUUUGGGAUAACGCCCGGAAACGGGUGCUAAUACUGGAUAUUCACUGGCCUUCGCAUGGGGGUUGGUGGAAAGGUUUUUUCUGGUGGGGGAUGGGCUCGCGGCCUAUCAGCUUGUUGGUGGGGUGAUGGCCUACCAAGGCUUUGACGGGUAGCCGGCCUGAGAGGGUGACCGGUCACAUUGGGACUGAGAUACGGCCCAG
rnacentral:rRNA from 1 species